rnacentral:rRNA from 1 species
UGGGGAAUAUUGGGCAAUGGGCGGAAGCCUGACCCAGCGACGCCGCGUGAGGGAAGAAGGCCUUUGGGUCGUAAACCUCUGUUGUAUGGGAAGAAGGAAGUGACGGUACCAUACGAGGAAGUCCCGGCUAACUACGUGCCAGCAGCCGCGGUAAUACGUAGGGGACGAGCGUUGUCCGGAAUUACUGGGCGUAAAGGGCGCGCAGGCGGAUAUUUAAGUCAGCUGUUAAAGUCAUGGGCUCAACUCAUGGAUGCGGUUGAAACUGGGUAUCUAGAGUGCUGGAGAGGUAGGCGGAAUUCCCGGUGUAGCGGUGAAAUGCGUAGAUAUCGGGAAGAACACCAGUGGCGAAGGCGGCUUACUGGCCAGCAACUGACGCUGAGGCGCGAAAGCCAGGGGAGCGAA